rnacentral:rRNA from 1 species
GUAGGGCGGGACACGUGGUAUCCUGUCUGAAUAUGGGGGGACCAUCCUCCAAGGCUAAAUACUCCUGACUGACCGAUAGUGAACCAGUACCGUGAGGGAAAGGCGAAAAGAACCCCGGCGAGGGGAGUGAAAAAGAACCUGAAACCGUGUACGUACAAGCAGUGGGAGCACGCUUAGGCGUGUGACUGCGUACCUUUUGUAUAAUGGGUCAGCGACUUAUAUUCUGUAGCAAGGUUAACCGAAUAGGGGAGCCGAAGGGAAACCGAGUCUUAACUGGGCGUUAAGUUGCAGGGUAUAGACCCGAAACCCGGUGAUCUAGCCAUGGGCAGGUUGAAGGUUGGGUAACACUAACUGGAGGACCGAACCGACUAAUGUUGAAAAAUUAGCGGAUGACUUGUGGCUGGGGGUGAAAGGCCAAUCAAACCGGGAGAUAGCUGGUUCUCCCCGAAAGCUAUUUAGGUAGCGCCUCGUGAAUUCAUCUCCGGGGGUAGAGCACUGUUUCGGCAAGGGGGUCAUCCCGACUUACCAACCCGAUGCAAACUGCGAAUACCGGAGAAUGUUAUCACGGGAGACACACGGCGGGUGCUAACGUCCGUCGUGAAGAGGGAAACAACCCAGACCGCCAGCUAAGGUCCCAAAGUCAUGGUUAAGUGGGAAACGAUGUGGGAAGGCCCAGACAGCCAGGAUGUUGGCUUAGAAGCAGCCAUCAUUUAAAGAAAGCGUAAUAGCUCACUGGUCGAGUCGGCCUGCGCGGAAGAUGUAACGGGGCUAAACCAUGCACCGAAGCUGCGGCAGCGACGCUGAUGCGUUGUUGGGUAGGGGAGCGUUCUGUAAGCCUGUGAAGGUGUGCUGUGAGGCAUGCUGGAGGUAUCAGAAGUGCGAAUGCUGACAUAAGUAACGAUAAAGCGGGUGAAAAGCCCGCUCGCCGGAAGACCAAGGGUUCCUGUCCAACGUUAAUCGGGGCAGGGUGAGUCGACCCCUAAGGCGAGGCCGAAAGGCGUAGUCGAUGGGAAACAGGUUAAUAUUCCUGUACUUGGUGUUACUGCGAAGGG